rnacentral:rRNA from 1 species
AGGAUGAACGCUGGCGGCGUGCUUAACACAUGCAAGUCGAACGAUGAAAGCCGGAGCUUGCUCUGGCUGGAUUAGUGGCGAACGGGUGAGUAACACGUGAGUAACCUGCCCCAGACUCUGGGAUAAGCACUGGAAACGGUGUCUAAUACCGGAUACGAGCUUCAGCCGCAUGGCUAGGAGCUGGAAAGAACUUCGGUCUGGGAUGGACUCGCGGCCUAUCAGCUAGUUGGUGAGGUAAAGGCUCACCAAGGCGACGACGGGUAGCCGGCCUGAGAGGGUGACCGGCCACGACUGGACUGAGACACGGCCCAGACUCCUACGGGAGGCAGCAGUGGGGAAAUAUUGCACAAUGGGCGCAAGCCGUGAUGCAGCAACGCCGCGUAGAGGGAACGGAACGGCCUUACGGUUGUUAAACGUACUUUAGUUAAGGGUAAGGAAGAAG